rnacentral:tRNA from 1 species
GUGGGUAUAGCUCAGUGAUAGAGCGCAUGCUUAGUAUGCACAGGGUCCUGGGUUCAAUCCCCGGUACCUCCA